UCUUGGGAACUGACUCAGUCUACAACUGAGCACCUGCCCUUCAGCAGGAACUCAAUAAAAAUGGGGUGAACCAAC